rnacentral:rRNA from 1 species
UACGGGGGGGGCAAGCGUUGUUCGGAAUUACUGGGCGUAAAGGGUGCGUAGGCGGCUUUCUAAGUUGGAUGUGAAAACUCUGGGCUCAACCCAGAGCCUGCAUCCAAAACUGGAAGGCUAGGGUUCUGGAGGGGAAAGCGGAAUUCCUGGUGUAGCGGUGAAAUGCGUAGAUAUCAGGAGGAACACCGGUGGCGAAGGCGGCUUUCUGGACAGACACCGACGCUGAGGCACGAAAGCUAGGGGAGCAAACAGG